ACUAAGCAUACAUUGACUGGUACUCCAGAUGCCAGUUUGGGAAGGGCAAGAGGCCACAUGGGAGCUUGGUGGAGCAAUGCAGCAGGUAUAGUAGGGGGUGUCGUCGUGACAAAAUAGGCAAAAAGACCCAGGGCUCCUGACCCUGGCUGGCUCCCUAGUGAGCUUCCUGAGGCUGCGACCCCUGUCCUAGGUUAGAGCAGAAACAAGGAGCCCAGGGAAUGAGGAAGAAAGGAAGCAGUGUGAAAUGGUCUUCGUCUGAGAAAUGCUGAUGGUCGGAGGCUGGUUCCAGAACCUUCUUAAGACAGUUACAGUCCUGAAGCAGAGGUUUCCCAGGAUGGGAAGAAAGGUUUUCUUAUCAGCAGCAAGGGAACAAGAUGCAGACAAUGACAUGUGACACAUGAUUCCCUUAAGAAUGAAAAGAAGAAGCAGUCAGUGGUGGCACCCACCUUUAAUUUCAGCACUCACAAGGCAGAGGAAGCAAACCAUGAGAAUGUCUGAAUUUAUAACCCAAGCGUUUGGUGCUACGCAUGCUGGAGUUACUCAUUAAUAAAUACUUCAGGAAGUAUUUACACCAAGGAUGACGAGUCUGCCAUACUUAAUGGAGAGAAAGGCAUUUUACGUUUUCACAGUCCAAGAGUGGGUGAUGCAGUUCAUUAUGUAUUAGAGGUCUCUCAGCUCACAUUUGGUUUGCAAAAUAAUAAAAUGUACCUUUCUCUCUUAAA